GACGAACGCUGGCGGCGUGCUUAACACAUGCAAGUCGAACGGAAAGGACCUGCUUUUGUGGGGUGCUCGAGUGGCGAACGGGUGAGUAACACGUGAGUAACCUGCCCUUGACUUUGGGAUAACUUCAAGAAACUGGGGCUAAUACCGGAUAGGAGCUCCUGCUGCAUGGUGGGGGUUGGAAAGUUUCGGCGGUUGGGGAUGGACUCGCGGCUUAUCAGCUUGUUGGUGGGGUAGUGGCUUACCAAGGCUUUGACGGGUAGCCGGCCUGAGAGGGUGACCGGCCACAUUGGGACUGAGAUACGGCCCAGACUCCUACGGGAGGCAGCAGUGGGGAAUAUUGCACAAUGGGCGGAAGCCUGAUGCAGCAACGCCGCGUGCGGGAUGACGGCCUUCGGGUUGUAAACCGCUUUCGCCUGUGACGAAGCGUGAGUGACGGUAAUGGGUAAAGAAGCACCGGCUAACUACGUG
rnacentral:rRNA from 1 species